rnacentral:rRNA from 1 species
UACGUAGGGGGCAAGCGUUGUCCGGAAUCAUUGGGCGUAAAGCGCGUGUAGGCGGCUCGGUAAGUCUGCUGUGAAAGUCCAGGGCUCAACCCUGGGAUGCCGGUGGAUACUGUCGAGCUCGAGUCCGGAAGAGGCGAGUGGAAUCCUGGUGUAGCGGUGAAAUGCGCAGAUAUCAGGAGGAACAGCCAAUGGCGAAGGCAGCUCGCUGGGACGUGACUGACGCUGAGACGCGAAAGCGUGGGGAGCAAACAGG